UCCCUGGCAGUCCAGUGGUUAAGACUCUGCACUUCCAGUGCAGGGUAUGCAGGUUUGAUCCCUGGUCAGGGAA
rnacentral:tRNA from 1 species